UACGUAGGGCGCAAGCGUUAUCCGGAAUUAUUGGGCGUAAAGAGCUCGUAGGCGGUUUGUCGCGUCUGCCGUGAAAGUCCGGGGCUCAACUCCGGAUCUGCGGUGGUACGGGCGGACUAGAGUGAUGUAGGGGAGACUGGAAUUCCUGGUGUAGCGGUGAAAUGCGCAGAUAUCAGGAGGAACACCGAUGGCGAAGGCAGGUCUCUGGGCAUUAACUGACGCUGAGGAGCGAAAGCAUGGGGGAGCGAACAGG
rnacentral:rRNA from 1 species